UUCCUUGAACCGCAUGGUUCAAGGAUGAAAGACGGUUUCGGCUGUCACUUACAGAUGGACCCGCGGCGCAUUAGCUAGUUGGUGGGGUAAUGGCUCACCAAGGCGACGAUGCGUAGCCGACCUGAGAGGGUGAUCGGCCACACUGGGACUGAGACACGGCCCAGACUCCUACGGGAGGCAGCAGUAGGGAAUCUUCCGCAAUGGACGAAAGUCUGACGGAGCAACGCCGCGUGAGUGAUGAAGGUUUUCGGAUCGUAAAGCUCUGUUGUUAGGGAAGAACAAGUGCGAGAGUAACUGCUCGCACCUUGACGGUACCUAACCAGAAAGCCACGGCUAACUACGUGCCAGCAGCCGCGGUAAUACGUAGGUGGCAAGCGUUGUCCGGAAUUAUUGGGCGUAAAGGGCUCGCACGCGGUUUCUUAAGUCUGAUGUGAAAGCCCCCGGCUCAACCGGGGAGGGUCAUUGGAAACUGGGAAACUUGAGUGCAGAGAGGAGAGUGGAAUUCCACGUGUAGCGGUGAAAUGCGUAGAGAUGUGGAGGAACACCAGUUGCGAGGCGACUCUCUGGUCUGUACCUGACCGC
rnacentral:rRNA from 1 species